UUAUUUAAUUACAGGUACCCCCGCCAGAAGGACGGAAGCACCAAGUCACUGGAGACCUCAGGAGUCAUUGCCGGUGGAGAAUUGGGGAUGUUUGGCCCAAUUUGUUGCAGUCGCAGGGUGCGCGCAACUUGCAACAUUUGAGUUGGACCAGCGUUGCAGACACUCCGCCAGUCGUCAACAUUGAGGUUCCGAUGUGGAUCCCGCGCAGCCGUUAUUGCGGUCAUUUUAAAGUUGCUGGCAUCGUUUGGCAGUGGAGUCUGCCUGAGUAUGGGCAGGAAACUCAUCGCUUUUAGUGGAUUCGUUACGCUCUACGUCUGCCAAUAAGCUGCCAACCCGUUCUCUGUUUUUUUCUCCAGUUGUCAGGGGGUCCAGAACGCUGUCAGUUCCCGCGCCGCCGUCUCGUUGCAAGGUCCGAAAAGUUGCUGCAUCUCAGCUAGUGUCCUUCAGAAAUCGGCAGGGAGGUCAUCAUUGAUUUGAAGUCGUCAGAAUUGCCGCUUUCGUAGGCCAUCUCGCCAGGAAUAGAGGAGCAUCUUAUAAUCGCCGGGCCAAAAUGCUUUGCCGUAGGCCGCCGCUCGAGAAAGUCCAUGGAAUUGGAUGUAGAAAAUUGCAUUAGAUAAGUGUGCCUAUGUGUUUAAUUUUUUGUUUUUGUCUGAUUGGCAUUUGUCUUUUCUUUAACAGGUCCAGUUGUCCGGGAUUUUUCAAUUUGGGAAUCAAGGGAUGAGAGGCUAAUAAAAAUGUGCAAAUUCGUGUAGUUAGACAACAGGCAUUUUGACGAGCCUCGGACCCUAGUUAUUUGAGAGCUGCCGAGUUGGAUUUGGAAAUAGCAUGGGCUGGAUAUGCAGUGCUGUGGAUUGGACGCAAUAGUUGUCACUGGAAGUCAUUGAGGGGAAAAAGACGAAUUUGGAGUGCGCGAAUUUUUUCACUUCCGACAUCAGCAGCGCCACGCAAAUGGUCCACUGUGACGAGGGUAGACUGUGGCAUGGAGACGCCAUUAAUUCUCGUCAGUUUGCUGCGACAGUUGCGUUGCCGUUGCUGAUUUUGGGAAUCGCUAGGGUUACGCAUGUAAAAUGAAUUCGUCUAUUUAAAGGGGUUUCGUCAGUGUAACCUUGCUGCGGGAAAAAAGUCAAAUUCGGGGGUCACGAUUUCGACCUUUUGCCGGGUCAGCAGCGCCUCGCCUAGGGUCCAGAAAGUCGAAGGGGCAUCCCCACAUGGAGACGGCAUCAAAACAUUAUACGUUUUAUAUGUUUUAGGUACCGAAAUCUCCAUUUUCGGUUUCGUCGAGUCGGGAAGUGGUCAGUUGCGUAGUUUUAUGCCUUUAUUGAUUAUUUUAUUCUUUUUCAGGGUCAGCGUCAGUAUUCCAAUGCUGCGGGAGAAAGGUCAAAAUUUAAGGGUCACGAUUUCGACCUUUUGACAGGUCAGCAGCGCCGCGCAUAAGGUCAAGAAAGUCGAGGGGGCAUCCCCACAUGGAAAUGGCAUCAAAACAUGAUACGAUUUAUAUGUUUUAAGUGCCAAAAUCUCCAUUUUCGGUUACGUCGAGUCGGGAAGUAGUAAGUUGCGUAGUUUUAUGCUUUUAUUGAUUUAUUUUAUUCUUUUUCAGGGAUGUUGUCAGUAUACCGUUGCUACCAGAAAAAAGUCGAAUUCAAGAGUCACGAUUUUGACCUUUUGCUGGGUCAGCAGCGCCGCGCCAAGUGUCAACAAAAUCGAGGGGGCUUCUUAACAUAGAGACGGCAUCAAAACAUUGUUAAUGUUUUAUAUAUAUUAUUAUAUAGCUCUCUGUUUUAUGUUUUGAUUAAAUUAUUUCAAUCUUUAACAAAGAUUUCGUCGAUAUUACAUUUCUGAGGAAAAAAGUCAAUUUCAAGGGUCACGAUUUCGACCUUUUGCCGGGUCGGCAGCACCACGCCUAGGGUCUAUAAAAUCGUGGGGGAAUCUCAGUAUGGAGACGGCAUCAAAACAUUGUAUGUUUAUUGUGUUUUAAGUGCCAAAAAAGAUUGCAGCUGUUGUUUCAGGACAUUUCGAAGGAUAUUCAUCAUGUUUUUGCCGCGCGUUGAAUUCAUCUAUGCGGGUCCUAGUGGGUGACAUCCUUCACGUCCUCUUCGUAGGGAUCAGCAGGAAUACAUCGUCAAGAGGCUUUUCGUCCGGAUUGCUUGCUGGUGAGUGGCGUUUUGAUAUUUUAUAUAAUAUUAUUUAUAGUUAUUUCCUUGUUUACAGGUCGUCAAGAGGGAAAUUAGGCGAGUUGCUGCCGCUAGGGUAUAGUCUUAUUUAUAGGGUAGCAGUCUUAUUUUAAUUAAAGUUAAAUCGACGUUUCCAUAUCUGGGUCAUUUUGUCUUCCUUGUAUAUUUAAAGCCAUUAAAAUGUCAAUCUUCUUUUCCAAAUUGUCAACUCUAUUUGCUAGUUUAAUGACGGGGUCGUCGGGGUGACUAUUUUUCGGAAGAGUGUUGGAAUUUUGAGGUGAAGUUUUCUCCUUCACAAUCCUUGGCUUCAGAUUUGCCAUGGCAGCUCUGCUCGUUGUCGGGGGGCUGUCGUCAUUUCCCUGUUUGCGGUUCGUUGUUUUUUCUAGAUUUUUCUGUUCCUUAUGCACAUUUUGU